rnacentral:rRNA from 1 species
AACGAACGCUGGCGGCAGGCUUAACACAUGCAAGUCGAACGCAUCGCAAGAUGAGUGGCAGACGCGUGAGUAACGCGUGGGAACAUACCCUUUUCUACGGAAUAGCUCUGGGAAACUGGAAUGAAUACCGUAUAUGCCCUACGGGGGAAAGAUUUAUCGGGGAUGGAUGAGCCCGCGUUGGAUUAGCUAGUUGGUGGGGUAAAGGCCUACCAAGGCGACGAUCCAUAGCUGGUCUGAGAGGAUGAUCAGCCACAUUGGGACUGAGACACGGCCCAAACUCCUACGGGAGGCAGCAGUGGGGAAUAUUGGACAAUGGGCGCAAGCCUGAUCCAGCCAUGCCGCGUGAGUGAUGAAGGCCUUAGGGUUGUAAAGCUCUUUCACCGAUGAAGAUAAUGACGGUAGUCGGAGAAGAAGCCCCGGCUAACUUCGUGCCAGCCGCCGCAGUAAGAC